rnacentral:rRNA from 1 species
AGGGAAUCUUCCACAAUGGACGGAAGUCUGAUGGAGCAACGCCGCGUGAGCGAAGAAGGUUUUCGGAUCGUAAAGCUCUGUUGCCGGAGAAGAACGGAUGGGAGAGGAAAUGCUCCCGUCGUGACGGUAUCCGGCCAGAAAGCUACGGCUAACUACGUGCCAGCAGCCGCGGUAAUACGUAGGUGGCAAGCGUUGUCCGGAAUUAUUGGGCGUAAAGCGCGCGCAGGCGGUUUCUUAAGUCGGAUGUGAAAUCUUGCGGCUCAACCGCAAGCGGCCAUUGGAAACUGGGAAGCUUGAGUACAGAAGAGGAGAGUAGAAUUCCACGUGUAGCGGUGAAAUGCGUAGAGAUGUGGAGGAAUACCGGUGGCGAAGGCGGCUCUCUGGUCUGUUACUGACGCUGAGGUGCGAAAGCGUGGGGAGCAAAC